rnacentral:rRNA from 1 species
AAUGAACGCUAGCUACAGGCUUAACACAUGCAAGUCGAGGGACCGGCGCACGGGUGAGUAACACGUAUCCAACCUGCCCUUUACUCGGGGAUAGCCUUUCGACAGCACGAUUAAUACCCGAUGUAAAGGAUGGGGAUGCGUUCCAUUAGGUUGUUGGUGAGGUACAGGCUCACCAAGCCUUCGAUGGAUAGGAGUUCUGAGAGGAAGUGCCCCCACAUUGGAACUGAGACACGGUCCAAACGCCGACGGGAGGCAGCAGUGAGGAAUAUUGGGCAAUGGACGGAAGUCUGAACCAGCCAAGUAGCGUGCAGGAUGACGGCCUAUGGGUUGUAAACUGCUUUUGUAUGGGGAUAGGUACCAGACGAAUAAGGACCGGCUAAUUCCGUGCCAGCAGCCGCGGUAAUUC